UACGUAGGGGGCAAGCGUUGUCCGGAAUCAUUGGGCGUAAAGCGCGUGUAGGCGGCUGGGUAAGUCCGCUCUGAAAGCCCGGGGCUCAACCCCGGGAGGCGGGUGGAUACUGCUCAGCUCGAGUCCGGAAGAGGAGUGUGGAAUUCCUGGUGUAGCGGUGGAAAUGCGCAGAUAUCAGGAGGAACACCAGUGGCGAAGGCAGGCACUGGC
rnacentral:rRNA from 1 species